rnacentral:lncRNA from 1 species
CUCCACAUGUAUAAUCCAAAGUUCUCGGAAUGAUAAACUGAAAAAUAAGAUUGUUGACAAAAAUAGAGAAAUAAGUUUGAGUUACAGAAAAAUUCAAGCAAGGAAAAAAUGAUAGAAAGUAAAAUAGCAAAUAACUUUUUAUCUGCUUCCCCAAAAAAUACUUUGUAAUCAGAGAGAAGAACAACACUACAAGAUUGUAAUCAAAGCAAAACUUGGAUGCGUCAAAAAUAUUUUUUGAAAAAAAAACAUAGGUAGAUGAAGAAUAAAGAAAGAAAUUUUCCGGCAAGGAUUUUGAAAAUAAUUAGCUUCUAGGCGAAGAAGA